GACGAACGCUGGCGGCGUGCUUAACACAUGCAAGUCGAACGGAAAGGCCCUGCUUUUGUGGGGUGCUCGAGUGGCGAACGGGUGAGUAACACGUGAGUAACCUGCCCUUGACUUUGGGAUAACUUCAGGAAACUGGGGCUAAUACCGGAUAGGAGCUCCUGCUGCAUGGUGGGGGUUGGAAAGUUUCGGCGGUUGGGGAUGGACUCGCGGCUUAUCAGCUUGUUGGUGGGGUAGUGGCUUACCAAGGCUUUGACGGGUAGCCGGCCUGAGAGGGUGACCGGCCACAUUGGGACUGAGAUCCGGCCCAGCCUCCUCCGGGGGGCAGCAGUGGGGAAUAUUGCAAAAUGGCGGAAGCCUGAUGCAGCAACGCCGCGUGCGGGAUGACGGCCUUCGGGUUGUAAACCGCUUUCGCCUGUGACGAAGCGUGAGUGACGGUAAUGGGUAAAGAAGCACCGGCUAACUACGUG
rnacentral:rRNA from 1 species